rnacentral:rRNA from 1 species
AUACGUAGGGUGCGAGCGUUGUCCGGAAUUACUGGGCGUAAAGAGCUCGUAGGUGGUUUGUCGCGUCGUCUGUGAAAUUCAGGGGCUUAACUCCGGGCGUGCAGGCGAUACGGGCAUAACUUGAGUACUGUAGGGGAGACUGGAAUUCCUGGUGUAGCGGUGAAAUGCGCAGAUAUCAGGAGGAACACCGGUGGCGAAGGCGGGUCUCUGGGCAGUAACUGACGCUGAGGAGCGAAAGCAUGGGUAGCGAACAGGAUUAGAUACCCUGGUAGUCCAUGCCGUAAACGGUGGGCGCUAGGUGUAGGGGUCUUCCACGACUUCUGUGCCGUAGCUAACGCAUUAAGCGCCCCGCCUGGGGAGUACGGCCGCAAGGCUAAAACUCAAAGGAAUUGACGGGG